rnacentral:lncRNA from 1 species
GAUAACUGUGUUAAUUGUUCUAGAAAAAUAAAUAAAAGACAUUAAAAGGGGAAAUGCAAAAAAGAGAUAAAGAGCCUCAGCUUGAUUCCCCAGUCACAAUGUCUGGCAGCUAACUCUGCCCAACACAAUGCACAAACCACGCAUCACUGGAGAAGAGCAGACAAAUGUCAGUCAGGCAUGUUCAUACGGUGGAGAGAAUGUGAUAACAUUAACACAUUCACACAAUAUGACCUGCCAAUUAAAACCCACUUUUCCUUUCAAACUCCUGCAUCAGAUGGCAUUGUAUGAAUGGGAGCACCACUGUUUAACAGUUCUUCACUCAGACUGUCCUGGUUGCCCACAAAACGUUCUUUGAAACAACAGAAUAAAGGGGCUCCAUAUAUAAGCCAAUAUUUCUUUGGCUGUCUGCCAAAUAAUGAGCUGCUGUUUUUUUAAGAUUAGCCCUGAGCUAACUACUGCCAGUGCUCCUCUUUUUGCUGAGGAAGCCCGUCCCUGAGCUAACAUCCGUGCCCAUCUUCCUCUACUUUAUAUGUGGGAUGCCUACCACAGCAUGGCUUGCCAAGCGGUGCCAUGUCUGCACCCGGGAUCCAAACCAGUGAACCCUGGGCCUCCGAGAAGCGGCACAUGUGAACUUAACUGCUGCGCCACUGGGCUGGCCUCUGUUUUUGUUUUUCUAAAAGUGAAGUCUCAUUUAUAAAUUUUCCAAAAUUUUAAACAAUCUUCACUGCUAUAUACAUUCUAAGAUGAAAUGCAGGAGGGGGCUAAUUGAUUAAAGAUGUUCGUUUUCAGUGGAUGAUUGCAGAGGAUGUCAAAAGAAGAUUCAGUGCCAAAUUAUACACUGUAUUAAACAACAUAAGUAGCAUUAAAAAUUAACAGCAACUCAGCAUUAAGUCCUGAUUAUAUUGUCAAUGAAGAUGAUAAUUGGGAGGGUUUAAAAUAAAAUUUGCAAUAAAGGA